GAUUAACGCUGGCGGCGUGCCUAACACAUGCAAGUCGAGCGGCAGCGAGUUUUACACUGAAUUCUGGAAGCUUCUAGUUGAAAGAGAAGAUUUAUUCAAGAAUUUUGUGUAAAAUGUCGGCGAGCGGCGGACGGCUGAGUAACGCGUGGGAACGUACCCCAAAGUGAGGGAUAACGCAUCGAAAGGUGUGCUAAUACCGCAUAUGGUCUUCGGAUUAAAGCCUUCGGGCGCUUUGGGAACGGCCAGCGUAAGAUUAGAUAGUUAGUGGGGUAAUGGCCUACCAAGUCGACGAUCUUUAACUGGUUUGAGAGGAUGAUCAGUCAGACUGGAACUGAGACACGGUCCAGACUCCUACGGGAGGCAGCAGUGAGGAAUCUUCCACAAUGGGCGAAAGCCUGAUGGAGCAACGCCGCGUGCAGGAUGAAGGCCUUCGGGUUGUAAACUGCUUUUAUAAGUGAGGAUUAUGACAGUAACUUAUGAAUAAGGAUCGGCUAACUACGUG
rnacentral:rRNA from 1 species